rnacentral:rRNA from 1 species
UUUUCCGGUGGCAACGUCGGAGGGGCCAUACCCGAUCCCAUCCCGAACUCGGAAGUCAAGCCCUCCAGAGCCGAUGGUACUGCUCGCGUGAGUGAGUGGGAGAGUAGGACGCCGCCGGGUC